AUCUGGGAUAGCUCAGUUUGGUAGAACACAAGACUCUUAAUCUCAGGGUUGUGGGUUCAAGCCCAGGUUGGACA